ACUAACAAAAAAUCUGGGUUAAAGAGAUGAUCAUAGUCUACUAUCUUUUCAAAGGCCAGUACACUCAGGAGGUGUCCUGGGAGAUUUCUCCUUGAAGAAUCAGCCUCAACAGGACUGGAAUGUGGAUUUGCCUGGUCCAGGUCUUCCCUAACUGCACCUAGUUAUGGACCUUCAGGAAGGCAGGUUACUAGCCUCAAAUACCAGCUGCAGCUUAGAAGGGGAAAAAGGAGCAUGACCUACGUCCAUUCUAGCUCUCACACUCUACGAUCUUAUGAAAUAAUUCUUGUAAACUCCUAUGGACCUGUGGACUCAACAACGUGGAAACUUCUUCCAGUGAUACAGAUCUCAACCUAUUCUGAUGGGCUUGCCUAUGUUAUUUCAUGGCAAUCCAUGAAAUAACAUACACUAUAUUCAAGAUAAUGGGCUAUUUAAAUAUGUAUCAUUAUUUUCCUCCUGGAUUUUCCUUGUUAUUUCAGAUUAGGUAUUACUUUCUUUUUUUGGUUAGGAGUUAAAGAAACAAACAAAAUGAAUAGAAAAAAAUUCACAGAAAAAGUAAAAUGUCUGUCAUUAAUGUAAUGUGAUGAUAUAGUACGGUAGAUGGAGCACUGAGCCUGGAGUUAGGAACGCCUAAGUUCAAAUCCAGCCUUAAUUAGUAACUGUGUGACCCUGGGCAAAUCAUUUAGUCUCUAUCUGUUUCUAUUUCUUCAUCUGUAAAAUGGGGAUAAUAGUAGCACCCACCUCUCAGAGUGAUUGUGAAGAUCAAAGGACAUUAUUUACCAAUAAUGUUUGUAAAACAUAGCACACUGUCAGGUACA
rnacentral:lncRNA from 1 species